rnacentral:rRNA from 1 species
CGAACGCUGGCGGCGUGCUUAACACAUGCAAGUCGACCGUGAUUUUUGUGGAAAUUCUUUCGGGAAUGGAAAUGAAAUGAAAGUGGCGAACGGGUGAGUAACACGUGAGCAACCUACCUUACACAGGGGGAUAGCCGUUGGAAACGACGAUUAAUACCGCAUGAGACCACAGAAUCGCAUGAUAUAGGGGUCAAAGAUUUAUCGGUGUAAGAAGGGCUCGCGUCUGAUUAGCUAGUUGGAAGGGUAAAGGCCUACCAAGGCGACGAUCAGUAGCCGGUCUGAGAGGAUGAACGGCCACAUUGGAACUGAGACACGGUCCAAACUCCUACGGGAGGCAGCAGUGGGGAAUAUUGCACAAUGGGGGGAACCCUGAUGCAGCGACGCCGCGUGAGCGAAGAAGGUUUUCGAAUCGUAAAGCUCUGUCCUAUGAGAAGAUAAUGACGGUAUCAUAGGAGGAAGCCCCGGCUAAAUACGUG